rnacentral:rRNA from 1 species
GAUUAAGUUAUUAAGGGCGCACGGUGGAUGCCUUGGCACUAGAAGCCGAUGAAGGACGUUACUAACGACGAUAUGCUUUGGGGAGCUGUAAGUAAGCUUUGAUCCAGAGAUUUCCGAAUGGGGAAACCCAGCAUGAGUUAUGUCAUGUUAUCGAUAUGUGAAUACAUAGCAUAUCAGAAGGCACACCCGGAGAACUGAAACAUCUUAGUACCCGGAGGAAGAGAAAGAAAAUUCGAUUCCCUUAGUAGCGGCGAGCGAAAUGGGAAGAGCCCAAACCAACAAGCUUGCUUGUUGGGGUUGUAGGACACUCUAUACGGAGUUACAAAGGACGACAUUAGACGAAUCAUCUGGAAAGAUGAAUCAAAGAAGGUAAUAAUCCUGUAGUCGAAAAUGUAGUCUCUCUUGAGUGGAUCCUGAGUACGACGGAGCACGUGAAAUUCCGUCGGAAUCUGGGAGGACCAUCUCCUAAGGCUAAAUACUCUCUAGUGACCGAUAGUGAACCAGUACCGUGAGGGAAAGGUGAAAAGCACCCCGGAAGGGGAGUGAAAUAGAACCUGAAACCGUGUGCUUACAAGUAGUCAGAGCCCGUUAAUGGGUGAUGGCGUGCCUUUUGUAGAAUGAACCGGCGAGUUACGAUUUGAUGCAAGGUUAAGCAGUAAAUGUGGAGCCGUAGCGAAAGCGAGUCUGAAUAGGGCGUUUAGUAUUUGGUCGUAGACCCGAAACCAGGUGAUCUACCCUUGGUCAGGUUGAAGUUCAGGUAACACUGAAUGGAGGACCGAACCGACUUACGUUGAAAAGUGAGCGGAUGAACUGAGGGUAGCGGAGAAAUUCCAAUCGAACCUGGAGAUAGCUGGUUCUCUCCGAAAUAGCUUUAGGGCUAGCCUCAAGUGAUGAUUAUUGGAGGUAGAGCACUGUUUGGACGAGGGGCCCCUCUCGGGUUACCGAAUUCAGACAAACUCCGAAUGCCAAUUAAUUUAACUUGGGAGUCAGAACAUGGGUGAUAAGGUCCGUGUUCGAAAGGGAAACAGCCCAGACCACCAGCUAAGGUCCCAAAAUAUAUGUUAAGUGGAAAAGGAUGUGGCGUUGCCCAGACAACUAGGAUGUUGGCUUAGAAGCAGCCAUCAUUUAAAGAGUGCGUAAUAGCUCACUAGUCGAGUGACACUGCGCCGAAAAUGUACCGGGGCUAAACAUAUUACCGAAGCUGUGGAUUGUCCUUUGGACAAUGGUAGGAGAGCGUUCUAAGGGCGUUGAAGCAUGAUCGUAAGGACAUGUGGAGCGCUUAGAAGUGAGAAUGCCGGUGUGAGUAGCGAAAGACGGGUGAGAAUCCCGUCCACCGAUUGACUAAGGUUUCCAGAGGAAGGCUCGUCCGCUCUGGGUUAGUCGGGUCCUAAGCUGAGGCCGACAGGCGUAGGCGAUGGAUAACAGGUUGAUAUUCCUGUACCACCUAUAAUCGUUUUA